rnacentral:rRNA from 1 species
UUAGGGAAGUUUCACACUGGGCGCAAGCCUGAUGGAGUGACGCCGCGUGAGCGAAGACGCCCCUCGGGGUGUAAAGCUCUUUUCUCCGGGACGACGAGUAGGACGGUACCGGGGGAAGAAGCCUCGGCUAACUACGUGCCAGCAGCCGCGGUAAGACGUAGGAGGCGAGCGUUGUCCGGAAUUACUGGGCGUAAAGAGCGCGUAGGCGGCCUUUUGCGUGUGGGAUGAAAGCCCCCUGCUCAACGGGGGGAGGGUUCCACAAACGGGGAGGCUCGGUGGAGUGUGGAGGGGGAGUGCGGAACGGCCGGUGGAGCGGUGAAAUGCGUAGAGAUCGGCCAGAACACCAGUGGCGAAGGCGGCACUCUGAGCCACAACUGACGCUGAGGCGCGAAAGCGUGGGGAGCGAACGGAAUUAGAUACCCGUGUAGUCC